UGUUAUUCCUGACUGUCGUUUUUAACUGUUUUCUGUUCUUCUCUCUGUGUGUGUCAGGAGAAUGGCCGUUGAAAGAGGUUUCUCUGGAUACUGCUGAGGACGGUGUGUACUGAUGUGUUCUGUCUGGGGUGAAGCAGACAGAGGAAGAUCCUUAAAUGUUAAUAGGGAGAAAUCCGAGCAUGACAUUGUACACUCAUGCACCCCCACACACCCCCACACACGGGACCACACUGUUGCUCUCUAUACUAGGACAUGAGAACAGGGUGGGUGUGUCUGUGUGCAUGUAUAAAGCCAAAAGUUUCACAGAAAAGAUGACAUUUGAGGAGGGAUUUGAAGGAAGUAAGAGAAGUCUUGGAUACUUUAGUUGAAGUUCCUGUACCGCAGGGGGUUGGACUAGAUGGCUCUUCCAACUUUAUAAUUCUAUAAGUGGCAUUUCUUUGCAGCCAGUAGCAAUUUAUUGACUUCUGCACCCAUUGCAGGAACAGCAGAGUAUGGGGUUUUUCUUUUCUUGAUUUUACAAGCACGCCUCUCUCCCACACAUAGGUUUCUGCCCGCGAGGAGGUUAUAUUCUAAGUUUUGAUAGCAAGAAAGAUACAGAGGAAGGGGAGGGGGUGAGUGAUGAAUAAUGAGCACCACCUUUCACGAACGCAUCUCCGUUUCCCCCGAGAAGCAGGCUUAUCACAACAUACAUCUCCUGACCAUAAGGUAGGUCUAAUCUUCAGCUGAUUAAAUGCAAUUCCUCAAGGUUCCUACAAGGCAUGUGCUUAAUGUCUUCAGUGCAUUUAAGCAAUUUGCAGAAUACAAAGUUCACACACUUGGCAUUAUCGCCAAUACAUCACCCGCCUCCAGACGCUUUGCUAUCGCCAAAGGGAUAUAUCAGGAAAGGUUAACAGAGACGCUAACUAACUUGAAAGAGAGCGAAACCGUGACAGUGUGCUGAGGAAACAGCCAAGGAGGUUAUCCAGGAGUCAGAGAUUGCUGCGAGAACAUCCAGGGACUUGUGGCUGCAGUCGCCCUGCUUUUCUUGCCCUGAUUUAUUAGGAUCAAUGGGAUUACCCAUCCCUGAACACAUUCAGCCUGGCCAAUAAACACCGUGGAGGUUCACAAUGGGAGGUGAGGGGAUGGGAGCAGGAAAUAGUUAAUCCAUGUGUAGCAGGAAGUUGACCAGAAAGGCCAUUUGGGGGUUCCAGAAUUUGGGGGGUUGGGAAGGCUAUUUUUACAUUCAUCUCAUUAACUUCCUUUAUAAAGCUGUAUGUGGAAAAUUGUAAUCGUUUCUGCAAUCCAGCCGAAAUGUGUGAAGCAUUUGCCAAAACUUUUUAUCUUCCUUUGACUGAUUUCUUUUAAACCGCCCCCCUUUGAAUUUCUUCAGUCAUCAUACUUUGCAAAUGUUUCCGCUGGAUACGCCUUUCCUUAUAGCUUGGGUCCAGUAUCUAUCAGCUCUCUGCAACCCCAGUCUCAG